rnacentral:rRNA from 1 species
UGCCAGCAGCCGCGGUAAUACGGAGGGGGCAAGCGUUGUCCGGAUUUACUGGGUGUAAAGGGCGCGCAGGCGGAUUUGUCAGUCAGGGGUGAAAUCCUACAGCUUAACUGUAGAACUGCCUUUGAUACUGCAAAUCUUGAGUUCGGAAGGGAGAGGCGGAAUUCCAGGUGUAAGGGUGAAAUCUGUAGAUAUCUGGAGGAAUACCGAUGGCGAAGGCACCAUACUGGCUGGAAACUGACGCUGAGCUGCGAAAGCAAGGGGAGCAAACAGGAUUAGAUA